GGAGCCAAGUGAUGAUUUGUCUAUGAUCACGGACCCAGCUACAGGCUCAGGAAAUUCUGCCUCUCAGUUUGCACAGCUUGUUUUCCUGGGACUGCAUGUUAGCCAGGAGUAGUCUACAGAGCGGCGGCCGAUUAUCACGCCAUCUCAACCUCACCAGGAUGUCUCCGCUUCUCUCUGGCUUCCAGUGCCGUUUCCAAGAUCCCCAGAUAUCCACAAGUCAGAAAAGCCAG